GAUGAACGCUGGCGGCGUGCCUAAUACAUGCAAGUCGAACGCAUAGCGAAGGGUGCUUGCCCCUUUCAAGUGAGUGGCGAACGGGUGAGUAACACGUGGACAACCUGCCUCAAGGCUGGGGAUAACAUUUGGAAACAGAUGCUAAUACCGAAUAAAGCUUAGUGUCGCAUGACACAAAGUUAAAAGGCGCUUCGGCGUCACCUAGAGAUGGAUCCGCGGUGCAUUAGUUAGUUGGUGGGGUAAAGGCCUACCAAGACAAUGAUGCAUAGCCGAGUUGAGAGACUGAUCGGCCACAUUGGGGCUGAGACACGGCCCAAACUCCUACGGGAGGCUGCAGUAGGGAAUCUUCCACAAUGGGCGAAAGCCUGAUGGAGCAACGCCGCGUGUGUGAUGAAGGCUUUCGGGUCGUAAAGCACUGUUGUAUGGGAAGAACAGCUAGAAUAGGAAAUGAUUUUAGUUUGACGGUACCAGAACAGAAAGGGACGGCUAAAUACGUG
rnacentral:rRNA from 1 species